rnacentral:lncRNA from 1 species
CUAUUACCCCACUAAUUAGAAAUUAUAUCCCUGUAUGUUAUGUUUUUGCAAGUAUUUAUCCAAUUGCAGUUUAAACAUCUGUAUAGACUCUGACAAAACCACAUCUUCAGGCAAAGAAAUCCAUAUCCUUAUUGCUCUUACUGUAAAAAAAACCUUUUCUUUGCCUUAGAUGAAAUCUCCUUUCUUCCAGCCUAAAUGUGUGACCUUGUGUCCUAUGUAUAGCCC